GGGUGUGCCUGCCACUUUAAGGGCCUGGAGCUGGCAGCCUCCAGGUGCCUGAUUAGGGCAGCCAUUUUAGAGGCAAGGGCUGCCUAUAUAAGCAGGGCAGUUUGGCUGCUGGAAGGAAGGCAGCAACAUUGCCUGGCUGGAGUGCUGCUGAGAUCACCUGGAGUAUUCUGGACUAACACUAAGGUGAGUGCCUGAAGAGGAGACUAGGAUUCAGAGGAAAAGGUUGUGUUACAGAUGUACCUAAAGGAAGAAAUGACAGACUAAGAGAAGCUCAAAAGAAAAGAGCUGUCGCCGCCGAGAGCUGCGGCGCGGGGUUCGGGGCCUUAGGAGCCCUAGUCGGCAGGCGGGUACUUGUGACACUUGGAGUGGAAUCAGGUAGUCCAAGUUUUGAUUCCUGUUCCCACUCCCAAGAUGACUUCCCUGUAGACCUUCUAAAGUCCACAAGACAGUGCAAACAUCAGUGGGUCAGCAGGAGUCGUCGAUCUGGAAAUACGCUCUCCCCUCAGGACCAAGUCAUCUCAGGCAGCGUUUAACAUAUCCAUAGAAGGCAAGUCUGAAACUGAAACAGGAAUAUAGGCGUGGAAUCGGAGGGGAGCAAGAAAGAUGGGAAGCUAAGUGCGAAGAUUAACUGGGAAAGGUGGCUACAAAGGAGGGACCAAAAAGACUGGCCUAACACAAAAGCUCUGCAGGUACUGUGAACUGGUGCCACAGUUCCAGGGAAUUUACAACUUUAUAGUGCUAACCAGGAAGAGGUAAGCUGGAGCCCAGCUGCAUAUGCUGAACUAUAUGGACACACAGCCAUUUAUAGUUACUACCUGACCAAAGGCUGCCAAUUUAGGACAGUCUCUGUUACAGGUUUCAUUGUUUGAAAUACAGGAGCAUCUAUAUUUAUUGUUGACUUUAAAAAUAUUUUACAGUACAUCCUAUUUUAUUAUGAAACAGCUCCAGGGCUCUCCCAUGAGCUUCAUGUUCACAGAAACCAAGUUGUUACAUAUGCUUUACUUUGCACUUAAAUUACUGAAAACCAGUCUCUAUUAACGCUCUAGCCAACGUUGACUUGCCAAAGCAAAUCAGAUGAGGGAGAAUUAAAACAACAAAGAUUAUAACCGAAAUAUCUUCACGGCUAGGGAGGUGCAUUUUCAGACCCACAGGAAUCCUGUUUAAAUAUUGUUUUUCCAAGUAUAUAGAAAAGGUGGGGUAUAAAAGUCUCUAGUGGGAGGAAAGACUGAUAAAAUGGAUCCACACUCCUUAAUGUACUCACAACUAAUCUACAAAACUAAUGUAAAUAUUUCUUAUUUCAAACCUCCACAGCUGAAUUUUCAUAGCUUUUAUUUUUCAUAUCAGCCAAUUUUGCUUUGCUGCCUUUGUGGACACACAGGGUAAAAUAACAGAAAAUAAAAAAGUAGAUAUGCUGAAUUGGCUACUGUAAUAUAAGUAUGUUUUAUGAGCCUAGUCAUCAGUGAGAGAGUGCUAGAUAGGAAAACAACAGUGAAAAAGACUAUGUAACACUAAGUCCCUUGUCACACUCACAACUCAAAUAACAUUUUCAUUUCAAACAUUGCUGCACCUUAAAUCUGUGGUAUUGUUCUGCAAUAGCCCAAAAACUAUCAUGACCUCACCAUUAUUGCACUGUGAUAUCAUGGUGUUGUGUUGUUUGUGUCACUGCUGAGCAGCUGUAAAAUGUUGAUAAUAUUGUGUUUAGUUAGAAAGUAGCCAACCUACAAAGUGAUACAGUUAGCAUUCUUUCUCAUGUCUUCGGAACAAUUAGCAAGGAAGGAAGUGGUAGAGAAAAAUCUUUUUUGUUCCUUAACUUCUGGCAAUUGUGAAAUGAAAAUGGCCUCUCUACUCUUUCCAUAUUUUCCUAGAAGGGAGUUCUACUCUUAGGCAAGGUUUACUCCACAGCAGGGGUAGGCAUCCCCUGGCGCACAUGCCAGAGCGUAGCAUGUGAAGGCAUUUUGCAUGACGUUUGCACCUCGGGGAAGGGGCCAAGUUGUGCUGCCACAACAAGGAUCAGGCCCCUUGAGGCUUCCCCAGCUGUCUGCCCCUGUCAUGCCAACAUCUUACAAGUUGACAUUGCAGGUAUUUUAGGCACUCUGCCCAAAAAUGUUGCCAACCCCUGCUCUACAGACUUCUGACAGUCUUCAGCAACUUUGGCCACUGGCACAAAGAUGAUUCAAUCUUAAUUCAUACAGUUGUGCUGUCAAAAACUCCUAGUGUAGGUACAGAAAUACCAGUGAAACUGAACUUUUGCUGGUAUAACUCAUUUCACUCCUGUGCAUAGUUUUCUAUACUUAUACAGAGGGCAGCUUUGAGGGUAUAAGUGCAUCCACACUAGGUACAGCAUAUUGGUAAUACCAAAAUAGUAAACUGUUCCUAAUUUAGAUAUAGAAAAAGAGGCUGAAAGAUUGCCUCUUACAUGGAUAUGUUUCUCUGCUAGGUAUUUCUCAUCAUUAUAAGCAUAAAUCAAGGAAAUUGGUAACUGCAGGGACCUGCAAAAAGUGAUCUGUGUUUCAGGCAGACCAAGCUAAUUGGGUUUAUGGACCAUAAGAGAGCUCUGAAAAGCAAUAAGAGGCUCCAGAGUAAAAUCUGGGGAUCACCAUUAUUAAGUAAUAAAAAUAUAGAGGAUAUGAGAUAUUCAGACACCAUCUUCCAGAAAACAAAUGGGGGAAAAAAAAAAAAAAAACCUUCUAGGAGCUAGAUUCUCUCUCACUGAAACUGGUAAGGCUAACAGCCACCUUCCACUACUCUUAAACAUAAGAAAUAGUUAAGCCCCUCCAAAUAACAUGAAUAUCAUCACCAAAAGCAAAGAUGCCAGCAAGAUACAUGUGGGUGUAGGGAGAGUUUGACUGGGAAACUCUAGAGACCUCUUUCUGUAAAUACUGAAGGAAGGAACAGAGAAAAUAAGCAGCUGAAGGCCCAGGACACAGGCACAGAUAUGCUAAGCAUGUGGCCCUGAAAAAAGCCCACAGGGGGCUUUUAGGCCUGAAAGAGGCUUGAAGCAGUGAACAAACAAAAGUGCCUACAGAUGUUUGAUUCUUCCUUGUUUAAGGAAACAGAACAUUAGGCUUUCUUUAUAAACACAAUUACUUCAAAGAAAUACCUGACUCCAAUGUAAAUUUUUCCUCCUAACCACAACAACUCAAUAAACUUCAGUCUUUAGUUUUGGUAUCUUUUAUUGGACCAACUGCAUAGCUGGGAGAGGUGUUAGACAAAUUUUUGGGCAUACACUACCUUAGUGGUUAGACACGAAUUGGAGGUAUAAGGUAAAAUAGUAUACGCCCAAUAUCUUGUCUAACACCUCUCCCAGCUAUACAGUUGGUCCAAUAAAAGAUAUCUUAAAAAAAAAAAACCC